UACGUAGGGGGCUAGCGUUGUCCGGAAUCAUUGGGCGUAAAGAGCGUGUAGGCGGCUCGGUAAGUCCGCUGUGAAAGUCCAGGGCUCAACCCUGGAAUGCCAGUGGAAACUGUCGAGCUAGAGUCCGGAAGAGGCGAGUGGAAUUCCUGGUGUAGCGGUGAAAUGCGCAGAUAUCAGGAGGAGCACCAAUGGCGAAGGCAGCUCGCUGGGACGGUACUGACGCUGAGACGCGAAAGCGUGGGGAGCAAACAGG
rnacentral:rRNA from 1 species